rnacentral:rRNA from 1 species
CAAGUCGCACGAGAAAGUGGAGCAAUCCAUGAGUAAAGUGGCGUACGGGUGAGUAACACGUGGAUCAUCUACCUUCUAGUGGGGAAUACCCCCGGGAAACUGGGGACAAUACCGCAUAAGCUCGUAAGAGGAAAGCAGCAAUGCGCUGGAAGAGGAGUCCGCGGCUGAUUAGCUAGUUGGCGGGGUAACGGCCCACCAAGGCGAAGAUCGGUAGCCGGCCUGAGAGGGCACACGGCCACACUGGCACUGAAACACGGGCCAGACUCCUACGGGAGGCAGCAGUGGGGAAUCUUGCACAAUGGAGGAAACUCUGAUGCAGCGACGCCGCGUGAGCGAUGAAGCCCUUCGGGGUGUAAAGCUCUUUCGACGGGAACGAUAAUGACGGUACCCGAAGAAGAAGCUGCGGCUAACUACGUGCCAGCAGCCGCGGUAAUACGUAGGCAGCAAGCGUUGUUCGGAAUUACUGGGCGUAAAGAGUGUGUAGGCGGUGCUCCAAGUCUGUUGUGAAAUCUCCCGGCUUAACUGGGAGGGUGCGGCGGAAACUGGGGUGCUAGAGGAUGGGAGAGGUAAGCGGAAUUCCUGGUGUAGCGGUGAAAUGCGUAGAUAUCAGGAGGAACACCUGUGGUGUAGACAGCUUACUGGACCAUUUCUGACGCUGAGACACGAAAGCGUGGGUAGCAAACAGGAUUAGAUACCCUGGUAGUCCACGCCCUAAACGAUGCAUACUUGGUGUGAGCGAUUCAUUUCGUUCGUGCCGGAGCUAACGCGUUAAGUAUGCCGCCUGGGGAGUACGGUCGCAAGGCUGAAACUCAAAGGAGUUGACGGGGGCCCGCACAAGCGGUGGA